CUGCUGAGGAGUCCCAUACCAGGACGAAACGGCCGUCCAGUGC
rfam:Schistosoma mattheei strain Denwood, Zambia genome assembly, scaffold: SMTD_scaffold0007587